GUGAAUCACAGUCAGUGUGUCUUCUUAGUCUUUAGCGUUUAUUCAGUCAUUCCAUCCCCGUGAUGGACUGUAAGGUAGAUACUACUGUUAAGCCUGUUUUGCAGGUGGAGACAUCCUGGAACAAAUAGAUGAGUUAAAUACUUUAUUCAAAAUCACGGAGCCAGAAAAGCUGAAACGAGACAAUAAAGAUGUAACUCUUACAGUGGAUCUUUCUUACAGUUGCUGUUAGAAGGGGGUUACGAGGCCAUACUGUUACAUUCAAUCACUCAAAAUAUUGUAAAUUCAACAAUGGUAACUGAAGAAAAAAUUGACAGCUGCCUGGAAAAACAGAUAGUCACAUUCCUGGAUUGCUCUGCAGAUUUGGAUGAAACAGAAAGACAGCAGCUGGUCUUCUUGCUUGGUGUGAGCAGUUUGCAGCUCUUCGUCCAGAGCAACUGGACUGGCCCUCCUACGUACUCGUAUCCUCAGGAGAUUCUGUCGUCUCUCUUAUUCCAGCAGUUCAG